rnacentral:lncRNA from 1 species
UCACUUCCGAAAUUCUCAAGCAUUCACAACUUCAUUUACCUUUUUCUCAUUGCUCAAUUGUUACACAGUUUCACACAACUUCUUAGCACAAAACCUUUUUUCUAUUUUUUUCUUUUUCAAUGCUUUUUCUUUUUCUUUUCUUUUCUUUUCUUUCUCUUUUUUUCUUCAUAAUUUUAUUUUUCUUUCUCAACCUCAUGACAACCAACCUUUUUCUCCCCAACUUGAAUACAACCAAGUCUUGCAAUGUGAAUACUCCCAA